rnacentral:rRNA from 1 species
GGGAUAUUGCACAAUGGGGGGAACCCUGAUGCAGCGACGCCGCGUGGGUGAAGAAGUAUUUCGGUAUGUAAAGCCCUAUCGGCAGGGAAGAUGAUGACGGUACCUGACUAAGAAGCCCCGGCUAACUACGUGCCAGCAGCCGCGGUAAUACGUAGGGGGCGAGCGUUAUCCGGAUUUACUGGGUGUAAAGGGAGCGCAGACGGGCAUGCAAGUCAGAUGUGGAAGCCCCGGUCACAACCCGGGGAGCGCAUUUGAAACUGCAGGCCUAGAGUGCUGGAGGGGCAGGCGGAAUUCCUGGUGUAGCGGUGAAAUGCGUAGAUAUCAGGAAGAACACCGGCGGCGAAGGCGGCCUGCUGGACAGCGACUGACGUUGAGGCUCGAAAGCGUGGGGAGCAAACA